rnacentral:misc_RNA from 1 species
GAUGAAGAACGCAGUGAAAUGCGAUAAGUAAUGUGAAUUGCAGAAUUCAGUGAAUCAUCGAAUCUUUGAACGCACCUUGCACCCUUUGGACUGCUCCAAAGGGUAUGCUCGUUUGAGUGUCAUUGUACUCUCACACUCUCUGAUCCUUUGGAUUUGGGGAGCAGUGGACUUGGGUGCUUGCUGCUUCCUUGUGGCUCACCUGAAAUGCAUCAGUGCAUCUCUCGAUUGGACAUAGUACGGCGUGAUAAGUGUCUUCGCCGGCACCUCAUAUGAGGGUGGCCGAUCGGGAGCUCUGUGCUUUCAAACCGUCUUCGGACAACGCUGACAACUUGACCUCAAAUCGAGUAGGACUACCCGCUGAACUUAAGCAUAUCAAUAAGCGGAGGA